AAUGUGGCGGGAAAACAAGUGAAGGCUUGCAUCGGCAAAACGAAAUAACCCCAAUUUCUAUGGAAAACUCAAAAGGUACUGAUGAACAGUAAGGCAUGUGACCACUAAACAAACUCUCCUCGUAUGAUCCUAUAAAACCACUCCUUUGAAAGCAGUUCUUCAAUGAAUAGGUAUUUAUACCUUUGGCGUUAAGAGAAUGUUCAGCAGAAGCAUCAAUUGGUUGUUGUUGAGUUAUAUAAUCACCAGACAAUAAUUUAUUACAACGACAUGAACAUCUCGUGAACAGAUGAGGCCCAUUUGAAGGUUUAACAGAUUUCUCAUUGUUAAAAAUUUCGAAUUUCAAUGGAGAAUUACAGAGAAAGUGGUUGUUCGCCUUACUAUUACCAGGAAAGUUUGAAAAAAAGUCUUUCAUCUGACUUAUCGAUUUCAAAUUCAUCCAUUCUUGUUCGAUUGGAAAACUCCUGCU